GCCCCUGUGGUGGAAUGGUAGACACGGCAGACUCAAAAUCUGUUGCUUGCAGAAGCAUGCUGGUUCAAGUCCGGCCAGGGGCA
rnacentral:tRNA from 1 species